rnacentral:rRNA from 1 species
GACCAAAAUCAUCAUCUUGAACGCGCCCGAGCGAUCUCGUCGGGUCUCGGAAGCUGAGGAGCAUUGAGCCUGGUUAGUACUUGCAUGGGAGACUGUCUGAGACUACCGAUGUUGUAGUCA